ACGAACGCUGGCGGCGUGCUUAACACAUGCAAGUCGAACGGAAAGGCCCUGCUUUUGUGGGGUGCUCGAGUGGCGAACGGGUGAGUAACACGUGAGUAACCUGCCCUUGACUUUGGGAUAACUUCAGGAAACUGGGGCUAAUACCGGAUAGGAGCUCCUGCUGCAUGGUGGGGGUUGGAAAGUUUCGGCGGUUGGGGAUGGACUCGCGGCUUAUCAGCUUGUUGGUGGGGUAGUGGCUUACCAAGGCUUUGACGGGUAGCCGGCCUGAGAGGGUGACCGGCACAAUGGGGACUGGAAAACGGCCCAGCUUCCUAGGGGGGGCAGCAGGGGGGAAUAUUGCAAAAGGGGCGGAAGCCUGAUGCAGAAACGCCGGGGGGGGGAUGACGGCCUUGGGGUUGUAAACCGCUUUCGCCUGGGACGAAGCGGGGGUGAGGGUAAUGGGUAAAGAAGCACCGGCUAACUACGU
rnacentral:rRNA from 1 species